GAUGUAGUGAUUUAUGGAAUCAGGUAUUGCACAACAUCUUUUGACUCUCACUUCUAAAUUAAGAAGUGCUGUACCAUGUUUUGCUUUAACAUGAAAGAAAUUGAUGACGACAUGUUUUGAUUGUUUUCAUAGACUUUUUGAAAUAACGAAUAAGUGGUAACAAAUCUUUCUAGAUCCUUUUCACGAUCAUCAAAAUGCUCUACAUGAUCUUUCACAAUCCAAAAU
rnacentral:lncRNA from 1 species